rnacentral:tRNA from 1 species
UGGGGUGUGGCUCAGCAGUAAAGCGCUCACCUACCAUGUGUGAGGCCCUGGGUUCUAUCCUCAGCACCACAU